rnacentral:rRNA from 1 species
AUUGAACGCUGGCGGCAUGCCUUACACAUGCAAGUCGAACGGUAACAGGUCUUCGGAUGCUGACGAGUGGCGAACGGGUGAGUAAUACAUCGGAACGUGCCCGAUCGUGGGGGAUAACGGAGCGAAAGCUUUGCUAAUACCGCAUACGAUCUACGGAUGAAAGCAGGGGACCGCAAGGCCUUGCGCGGACGGAGCGGCCGAUGGCAGAUUAGGUAGUUGGUGGGAUAAAAGCUUACCAAGCCGACGAUCUGUAGCUGGUCUGAGAGGGCGACCAGCCACACUGGGACUGAGACACGGCUCAGACUCCUACGGGAGGCAGCAGUGGGGAAUUUUGGACAAUGGGCGAAAGCCUGAUCCAGCCAUGCCGCGUGCAGGAUGAAGGCCUUCGGGUUGUAAACUGCUUUUGUACGGAACGAAAAGGCUCUUUCUAAUAAAGAGGGUUCAUGACGGUACCGUAAGAAUAAGCACCGGCUAACUACGUGCCAGCAGCCGCAGUAA